rnacentral:rRNA from 1 species
UACGGAGGGGGCUAGCGUUAUUCGGAAUUAUUGGGCGUAAAGGGCGCGUAGGCGGCCCGGUAAGUCAAAGGUGAAAUCCCUCGGCUCAACUGAGGAACUGCCUUUGAAACUGUCGGGCUUGAGGCCGGGAGGGGGGUAGCGGAAUUCCCAGUGUAGCGGUGAAAUGCGUAGAUAUUGGGAGGAACACCAGUGGCGAAGGCGGCUACCUGGACCGGUUCUGGACGCUGAUACGCGAAAGCGUGGGUAGCAAACAGG